UGUAGCGGCAUACUAUGCAUUAUAUAGUAUGGGAGUUAGAAUUAGGACACUAUUGUUCUAAGCACAGCAUAGAGGCAUGUGUAUUAUAUGCAUACUCCAAAUUCCUGCACUCCAAUGUUUACCAGUGUCUAAUCAGGUAUAAAUAUGUUUAGGUAGUGAUAAAUCCAAUGACCAACGCAGUGACCAAAGGGGGGUAACUUUCCCAUAAUUCUCUUUGUGUGGAAGAAGAUGCAUUCAUACUGGGUUCAAGCAGGAGCAUUUUCAUUGUGUUCGAAGUCACUCUUAAGAGGAGAGGUUGGACUAAGAAAGAGAGAGCAAUCCUGAUUAAGCUGUUGUUAAUAGGGUUCUAACAGUUGGUGAGUUAUAUCAAUUUAUCUUUAAGUAUAAGAAUUGUUUCAGCAGUAAUAAUUAUUGUUUAUCAGAACUACUAUAGAGUAUAAUUGAAUACUUUUCUCAUUUGAUAUUGAGUUAUAAUAAUUCCAUUAUGCAUAUUAUGGAUUCUUUACUUGACAAUUAUAUAUAGUACAAUGUAUAGUCAUACGGUUUGAGUUUAUUGAUAUUCGUACAUAAUUAUGUUUCCAAAUUUUAGACAGAGAUACGAAUAAUUCAGAUUUCACUUAGUUAUGUUGAUAACAGUCAACUACAUUAAUUGCAUUGGUAUGAGUUGUAUAUAAAUUGUAUAUAAUUGUUUACUCUGAUAUUUACGUAGUUGUUCAUAAUUAAGUGCUAGUGUCUUAUUUCUUGUAUUAUAUACCAUUUAUCAUUUAUGUCAUUUUCUCUAUUGUUUUCAGUCAAACCACUUACUGUGUACACUUGCUGAGUAACACUAGCUGAAUCACUUGUCGCACUACACUUCUGAAUUAGACUCGCUGUAUAACACAAUUGGUGAAAUCGUUGAGGAAGUCACAAGAGGUGACCUACUAUUAAACGUUGUAAAUACAUCGCACAUUUGGAACUGUUCAGUGUGUUUUGUAACUGUUCUCGCGUUGGCGAAUGAUUAGUGCGUUUGGCACCGAACCCCUAAUGUUGAAGGAUCAACAUUAAAGUUUGACAACUGGCACCAUGGAUCAGGUAGCAGCUCUGAAGCAAUCAUGCAAUGGUUAUCUCGGCCAAUUGGGCCGAAGAUACAAGGAGUUGGAGCAACUGAUGUUGGAUCCGGUGAAUCGUGAUCAAGUCAAAACAAAGUACUGUCAGCUGACUGACUUAUUCUCUUCCUAUGAGGGGAAGUUUGGGGAGUAUAUUUCCCUACUGAGUGGAAAGGCGGAGUCUGACGCCAACGUUGUAUUCAAUAGCCAGAAGCUGAACUUUACUGAGUUUGAAACUCGUGUUAAGGUGUGGAUGAGUGACACUGAUACUGUUAAAUCGUCGAUAUGUUCUUCUACUUCAAUGAGCAGUGAGAGGCUCCGAGAAGCAAGGCUUAAGAAGAGGUUAGCCGAACAAAGAAUGGAACAGAUGAAGGAGCAACAGAGACUUGAGCGGGCUAAGCGGGAUCUGGAUGAAAGACUCGCAACAUUGCAAAUGGAGAAUGAAAUAAAGAAUGCUGAACUUGAAGUGGAGAUAUUAGAGGAGCUUGAAUGUGAUCAAGAACUUAAUGAACCGUCUCAGAACAAUGAUGAACCUCUGGGUAACGUAGAAACCAAACAUACUAUUAAUGUUGUUGAUAGUGCAUGUAACGAUGAUGUAAUUAAUGAUGCUCCAGGUGUUGGGGUGGGAAAGAUUGGUGUGAACGCCAAUCUUAACAGUAAUACUGAGGUAGAUAAAUCUAUCCGAGGUACAGUAGAUAUGGUUAAUCCAAUGGUUGAUUUGUGUAAUAUGAUGUUAUUGUCUAUGAAUAUGCCAAAGGCAGAACUAGCUAAAUUUGACGGAGACCCAGUUAAGUACAGUGGAUUCAUUAAUAGCUUUGAUGUAAACGUAGCAUGUAAGGUUAAGGAUGACAAGACAAAAUUGAUGUAUCUGUUGCAAUAUUGUGAGGGUAAGGCGCGGGAAUGCAUCGAGUGCUGUGACCUUAUGCCUUCGGAUGAAGGAUACAAGAAAGCUAGGAGUAUCUUAGCCAGUCAGUAUGGCCAACCACAUGUAAUAUCACAAGCUAGGUUGGCGAAGGUGUUAAAUCGUUCCCCAAUAAAACCCAAUGAUGGUAACAGUUUGCGCGAGUUGGCAAGGGAAAUGAGUUCUUGCCGAAUAACGCUUGAGCAGAUGGGUCAUACUGCAAACAUGAAUGCCACAGAUAACCUGCUUAAGAUCCAGGGUAUACUCCCUAUCCAACUACAGGCUAGAUGGGCAGAGCGUGCCAAUGGUCUUCUCUUGGCCGGCGUAGAGCCAAAUUUCGCUCACCUUACUGAGUUUAUUGAAAGGCAAGCUAUGGUCGCCAAUAACCUGUUCGGAAAGAACAUAGGGCAAGGCCAUAAAGCAGUAACUGGAAAGGCACAUGCCAAGCAAGGGAGUGGGGGAAAGAAAUGGACCACCCUCUCAACCUUUGGUAAUGAGGAAGAAGGGAAAGUUAGCAAGAGGAAAUGUCCUUGUUGCUCGAAAAUCCAUGACCUGGAGACAUGUGAUGUCUUCAAGGGUAAAACUCAAAAGGAAAGGUUUAAGUUAGUGCGCCAGAGUCGUUUGUGCGACAAUUGUCUGAAGCCUUCGCAUGUGGCGAAGGAUUGCAGGCGCAAGCCCUUAUGUAACCAAAAGGACUGUAGAGGUAAGCACCAUGCCCUUCUUCACUUUCCGAGGACGGAUGCAUCGACUGGGGCCGGUGAUGACAGGAAUGACAAGGUUGGGAAUGUUUCGAACCAACCAUCAGCUACCAGUCUGGCUGCAUCUGUUAAUAAGAAGGUAUGUCUGAGAAUUAUCCCAGUAAAGGUAAGGAACCGUGGUCGAGAAGUCGAAACUUGGGCUCUGCUCGAUGGAGGAAGUGAUGUGUCACUUUGUGACAAGAGGCUCGCCCAGAAACUAGGUAUAAAGGGUGACAGGAAAAGGUUUAAUCUGUCUACCAUUAACCAGGAGAACAAGGAGAUGAGUGGUACAGAAAUCCAACUCUCAGUCUCUGGAAUUAAGGAAACUGAACACAUUGACUUAGAAGGGGUGUGGACAGUGGAGAAGUUACCGAUUUCUGCUGAUAGCAUACCUCGGCCAACUGACACUGAACGAUGGUCACAUCUCCGUGAUAUCACCAUCCCUCAAAUCGAUUCCAAUGAAGUAAUGCUCCUCAUUGGAGGGGAUACUCCAGAAGCAUUUUGGGUUAAAGAAGAUAGACAGGGUAAGAAGGGAGAACCAUAUGCUAUGCGCACAGUAUUGGGAUGGACCCUACUAGGACCAACUUCUCGACAGAAUAGACAAAGGUCAGGGUUCAAUUCCAACUUUACCCACACAAGUAUGGGCGAUGACUUGCUCCAAAGACAAGUCGAGAAGUUCUGGAAACUUGACUUUGGAGAGCACCACCUAGAGGGUGAAAGGGGGCUGUCAGUAGAAGAUCAGCGAGCUGAGGCGAUCUUCAAGGAAACCGUCAAGAAAGUCGAUGGGCACUAUGAAAUUGGACUGCCCUGGCGUCAUCCAGAUGUCAAUUUGCCGGAUGGCAAGAAGAUGGCAGAAACACGUCUGCGAUCACUACAGAGGCGCUUGGCUAAGGACCAAGUGAUGCAUAAGAAGUAUACGGAAACUGUGGAGGGUUACAUAGAGAAAGGCUAUGCACAAGAAGUGUUUGAUGUGGAUAGUACACGUCAUUCAGGAAAGACAUGGUACUUGCCUCAUCAUCCAGUUGUCCAUCCACAGAAGGGUAAGGUAAGAGUAGUCUUCGACUGUGCGGCUAGGAGCCAUGGCACAUCACUGAAUGAUCAGCUGCUCCAGGGGCCUGACUACAAUAACAACCUAGUCGGUGUCUUGACAAGGUUCAGGGAAGAGAGGGUUGCCUUGAUGGCAGACAUCGAAGCGAUGUUUCACCAGGUGAAGGUUGCACCUGAAGACAGUGAUGCCCUGCGGUUUCUCUGGUGGCCUAAUGGAGACUUGUCUAAGACACCAAGGACCUACAAGAUGUUGGUACACUUGUUUGGUGCCACUUCUUCGCCAAGUUGUGCAGCCUUUGCAUUGAGGAAGGCUGCCGAGGAAAAUGGCGGAGUGGGGCUUGAGGAAGCAACAAAGGCAGUAAAGGAUAACUUCUAUGUAGACGACUGCCUUGUGUCUGUUGCAACCAGACAAGAUGCUAUAGACCUCUCAAGAGGUCUGCGUAAGGUGCUGUCAGCUGGAGGAUUUCGACUCACGAAGUGGGUCAGUAACGACUAUGAUGUCAUUGCCAGUAUCCCUCCUUCUGAGCGAGCAGCAUCAGUAGUUGACCUCGACUUUGAGAAUCCUCCAAUGGAGCGGACUCUUGGGGUAUCUUGGAAUGUUGAAGCUGACAUCUUCACUUUCAAGGUAAAUCCAAAGGAGAAACCUCCUACAAGAAGAGGUAUUCUUUCGGUGACCAGUGCCUUAUACGAUCCUCUCGGAUUUGUAGCCCCAGUUGUGCUGGUAGCAAAGAUUCUCUUGCAGGAUGUUUGCAUAGAAGGCCUAGGAUGGGAUCAAGCUGUUGGUGAAGCUGAACAAGUUCGAUGGAGGCACUGGCAGAAUGGACUUCCGAAACUGCAAGGACUGCAGAUUCAACGGUGCCUGAAACUAAAGGCUAGUGCAGAGACAUCAAGACAAGACUUGCAUGUCUUCUGUGAUGCUUCCCAGAGAGGGUAUGCAGCAGUGGCCUAUCUCCGUACGGAGGGUGUGGAUGGAAAGGUUCACUGUGCCUUCGUUAUGGGGAAGACGAGGCUAGCACCAGUGAAGACGACUACGAUACCACGUCUUGAGCUCUCAGCAGCUGUUCUGGCAGUCUUGCUUGGCCAGACCAUCCAGAAAGAGUUGAAAUUGCCGAUAGCCACAACCACUUACUGGACAGAUUCUACGUCAGUGUUGCAGUAUAUCCAAAAUGAGAGUAGACGCUUUCAUACUUUCGUGGCUAAUCGUGUGUCUAAGAUCCGUGCUGCAACUGAUGUUGCUCAGUGGCGAUUUGUAGACACAAAAUCAAAUCCUGCAGAUGAGGGUUCUAGAGGCAUGUCUGCAAGUGAAAUGACUUCAGAAGCAAGAUGGAUUAAUGGGCCCGAUUUCCUGUGGAAGAACCAGGAUCAAUGGCCACAACCCUUGCAUCUCCCUCGAUCGAUGCAAGAACUUCAAGGAGACCCUGAAGUGAAGAAGAUGGCAAAGAGCAACUUUGUCAGUAGUGACAGGAUGAUAGAUGAUCUCCUGGAACGCUACUCAUCAUGGACGAGACUCAAGAAGGGUAUUGCCUGGAUCAGGCGAUUCUUGAGAUACCUUCGCUUGAAGAGGUUAGGAGACAAUGAGUCAUGCACCAAGGACGUGCUUUCUCCUGCAGAGCUGCAGGAGGCUGAAGCGGCUAUUGUUAAAUAUGUUCAAGCGAAGGAGUUCCCUGAUGAGCUGAAAGUUGUUCAUGGAAGUGCUCAGAAGACUUCCGGCCUUGGCUUAACGAAAGUUAAUCCCGUCAUGGUAGAUGGUGUGUUGCGUGUUGGUGGACGUCUUGCCAAUGCACCAGUACCUUACGACAGCAAACACCCAGUGAUCCUUCCAAGUGGACACCAUGUCACCAAGCUGCUCAUCAUCCAUCAUCAUAUAUUGGUUGGGCAUUGUGGUGCAGGUGCUACAUGGAACUCCUUAAGAGAGCGGUUUUGGAUCAUCAAUGGUGGAUCUUCAGUACGCAAAAUAAUCGGAAGGUGUUUCAGAUGUAAAAAAAGGAACGCUGCCAGAGGGCAACAGUUCAUGGCAUAUUUGCCUAAAGACAGAGUCACACCUGACAAGCCACCCUUUUCCAGUGUUGGCAUCGACUAUUUCGGGCCACUCUAUGUCAAGGAAGGGCGGAAAACAGUGAAGAGAUACGGAUGUAUCUUCACAUGCCUUGCAAGCAGGGCUGUACACCUUGAAGUGGCUCACACCCUCAACACUGACUCGUUUAUCAACGUGCUCAGAAGAUUCAUGAGUAGAAGAGGGAGGCCAGAGAAAAUUCGUAGUGACAACGGAAAAAACUUCAAGGGUGCCGAACGUGAGCUACGUGAGAAUCUUCACAUUUUGAAUCAGAAGAAGGUAGCAGACUUUCUGCAUCAGAGAAAUAUCGAGUGGCAGUUCAACACUCCCGCAGCAAGUCACAUGGGCGGGGUGUGGGAACGGCUUAUAAGAUCCGUGCGGAAGAUACUAAAGAGCGUUCUUGGAGAACAACUAGUGAAUGAUGAGAUCCUAGUGACAACACUAGUGGAGGUCGAAGGAAUUCUUAACUCAAGACCUUUGACUAAUAUCAGACAAGAUUCGAAUGACUUGGAGCCACUUACUCCAAAUCAUCUGCUGAUGAUGAAACAACCCCAUUGCUUGCCUCCAGGUAUCUUUACGAAGGAUGACCAAUACUGCCGUCGCAGAUGGCGACAGUGCCAAUAUUUAGCUGAUCUGUUCUGGAAACGAUGGCGUCGUGAAUAUCUACCAAUGCUACAGAACAGACAGAAAUGGCUACAUUCGAUCAGGAACUUCAAGGUUGAUGAUCUGGUCCUGAUGGUGGAUGAGACUAUGCCAAGAGGACAGUGGGCCAUUGGCAAGGUCUCGGAGGUAUACCCCGGAAGGGAUGGCAAGGUUCGCCAGGCAGAAGUAAAGGUUGGACCAAGGUUUUACAAGCGUCCUAUAACCAAGCUUUGCCUGCUUGAAAGUAGUGAGCAUAACGCUGCUCAAGAUGAAUGAGGUAUAGAGCUCAUCUGCCCUGAAUAUGCGCAGCCACCAUUCAAUUAAAAUAAUUUUUGUGUAAAUUGCAUGCAACUUGAUGCAUUUCCAACCUUCUCGUUAUCACAUAAAAAAAAUAUAUAUAUUGUCUUGUAUAAUUUGUGUUGGUUAUAAGCAGUUAGAUUACUGUGUCAAUGAUUAUUGACAUGAAAUAAUGAGUAUAAUUGUUUAACCGUAUAAUCAUUUUAUAUAUUCAUUAUGUUUAUUUGAUACGAUUCUCAUUUCCUAUUUGUUUGUUAAGUACAUUUUAUUGUUUAUAUUUAAGGUUGUUACUUAGGCAUCUUUGCCGCUAGAAAUUAGAGAAAUUUAUAGAAAUUAACAUCCUGAGGUCUGUUAAUUUGGGGCCGGUAAUGUAGCGGCAUACUAUGCAUUAUAUAGUAUGGGAGUUAGAAUUAGGACACUAUUGUUCUAAGCACAGCAUAGAGGCAUGUGUAUUAUAUGCAUACUCCAAAUUCCUGCACUCCAAUGUUUACCAGUGUCUAAUCAGGUAUAAAUAUGUUUAGGUAGUGAUAAAUCCAAUGACCAACGCAGUGACCAAAGGGGGGUAACUUUCCCAUAAUUCUCUUUGUGUGGAAGAAGAUGCAUUUAUACUGGGUUCAAGCAGGAGCAUUUUCAUUGUGUUCGAAGUCACUCUUAAGAGGAGAGGUUGGACUAAGAAAGAGAGAGCAAUCCUGAUUAAGCUGUUGUUAAUAGGGUUCUAACAGUUGUCAAACCACUUACUGUGUACACUUGCUGAGUAACACUAGCUGAAUCACUUGUCGCACUACACUUCUGAAUUAGACUCGCUGUAUAACACAAUUGGUGAAAUCGUUGAGAAGUCACAAGAGGUGACCUACUAUUAAACGUUGUAAAUACAUCGCACAUUUGGAACUGUUCAGUGUGUUUUGUAACUGUUCUCGCGUUGGCGAAUGAUUAGUGCGUUUGGCACCGAACCCCUAAUGUUGAAGGAUCAACA